UGGCUGUCAUCGCUGCCCUGGCUGGAUUUGCUGUCUGGAAGAGCAAGCAGGGUAACGUGCCUGGGCAGGGAAGAAGGAGAAGGGCUACAAUGUGGCACCAGGCAUGAUGCUGUGAGUGGUGCCCUGUGGAGCGUGUUCCAGUGCCUGACCACCCCGUCAGUGAAGAACCUUUUUGUGAUAUCAAUCCUGAACCAUCCCGGUUGCAGCUUCAAGCCAUCUCCUCAGGUCCUAAUCGCUGGUAACUGUGAGAAUGAAAGUUGUCUCUUUGCAGUAGAAACUUCCACUAACCUUGCAUAUUCAAAAGUGAUUGUGCAUGCUUAACAGUGGGGGGUAUGGUUGUCGUGGUAAUGGUUGGUCAAGUGAAACUGUACCUACCUGGUAUAGUAAUAAGUGUCGAGUAGUUUGUGAACCUGUAGCACUCAGCCAAUGAGGAAACAGGGGAGGAAUCAAGUGUCAGCUAAUAGGGAAUAUAAGGUUAUGAUGUACUUGCAGCACGUCCGCCAUUGCAAUCACAAAAAUGCUGCUUCAAUGUCCUGGUUUCAGUUAGAACAGAAUUAAUUUUCUUCCUAGUAGCUGGUGGAAUGCUGUGUUUUGGCUUAGGAUGAGAAGAGUGCUG
rnacentral:lncRNA from 1 species